ensembl:ncRNA M04B2.11 ncRNA
GCGCGCGCGGCAAGCCAGAUUUGAACGCACAAGAGAACCAGCUGUGGUAAGUGACUGAGUAUCAAACGUGGUACGCAGCCAAAUCGGCCUCUCUCCUCCCCUUCCUCGGCCGCUGGUCGCAGCCGCCGACGCUGAGAAGAAGGGUGAGCAGCACUCGUCCUGCUCGCAUGCGUCUCUUCACUGGCAGUACUCUCUCAUCGGUCCGUCCUGGUAUUCCGCGUCGGGAGCGUCAACAGAAUCAUGCUUCAAUCACCAAAAAAUAAGCCGGGCAACUUGUAGCAAUUGGAAU